rnacentral:rRNA from 1 species
GACAGAGGUGCCAAGCGUUAGGCGGAAUCACUGGGCUUAAAGCGUGUGUAGGCGGAUAUCUAAGUACCUUGUGAAAUCCCAUGGCUCAACCAUGGAACUGCUCGGUAUACUGGAUGUCUUGAGCCACUUAGGGGUUACCGGAACAAAUGGUGGAGCGGUGAAAUGCGUAGAUAUCAUUUGGAACGCCAAUGGUGAAAACAGGUAACUGGGAGUGUGCUGACGCUGAGACACGAAAGCUAGGGGAGCAAACGGG